rnacentral:rRNA from 1 species
CACGUAGUUAGCCGGGGCUUCUUAGUCAGGUACCGUCAUUUUCUUCCCUGCUGAUAGAGCUUUACGUACCGAAAUACUUCUUCACUCACGCGGCGUCGCUGCAUCAGGGUUUCCCCCAUUGUGCAAUAUCCCCCACUGCUGCCUCCCGUAGGAGUCUGGGCCGUGUCUCAGUCCCAAUGUGGCCGUUCACCCUCUCAGGCCGGCUACUGAUCGUUGCCUUGGUGGGCUUUUACCUCACCAACUAGCUAAUCAGACGCGGAACCAUCGUAUACCACCGGAGUUUUUCACACUGCUUCAUGCGAAGCUGUGCGCUUAUGCGGUAUUAGCACCUAUUUCUAAGUGUUAUCCCCCAGUAUACGGCAGGUUUUCCACGCGUUACUCACCCGUCCGCCACUAACUUAUAAUUCACUAGGUUUCGUUAUAAAUCCGUUCGACUUGCAUGUGUUAGGCACGCCGCCAGCGUUCAUCCUGAGCCAGGAUCAAACUCU